rfam:Schistosoma haematobium scaffold651_8, whole genome shotgun sequence.
AUCCAGCUGAUGAGUCUCAAAUAGGACGAAAAGCGCAUUCUGGAU